GGCUUUUGUUUCAAUGAGCAUGGGGACUGCCAAUGAUUCAGGGAUGAGUUUGGUUGAAGAUGGUCAUGUCAGAAAGAGGAGCAGAAAAAAAAACCAUGGCUGAGAUGGAGCAAGAGAACAUAAAGAGCAAUUAGAAAAAAUUAAAUAGAAGAAUCUGCUAAACUUAAUUGGAGAGGGAGAUUCAAAUAAACUAUUCCACGAGGUU